rnacentral:sRNA from 1 species
UUUUAAAAGGAUUUCCAAAGGUUUAAAAAUCUUUGUAAAUUAUUUUAAAACUCCUAAAAAAACUCUUGUAAAUCUUGUUAAACUAUUGCAAAAGGUUUUAAAAUGAUUUACAAAAGUUUAAAAGGGGUUUUAAAGUAUUUACAUAUGUAUUUAAACAUUUUAUUAAGAUUUUAAGAGGUUUUAAAAUGAUUUACAAGGGUUUUUAACAACUUAUCAAAGCUUUUAAAAAAUUUACAAGGAUUUUAAAAUGCAUUUUUUUGCGGAAAAAGUUUUGGCGCCAAAAUUUCCGUUUCCAAUUGUAUUUUCUCAUUAGAUGAGGGUUAUUUGUGCAUUUUGUUCAAGAGAAGGGAUAUUUUUAAAAAUGGACAACAUAAAAGUAUAU